rnacentral:rRNA from 1 species
UACGGAGGAUCCAAGCGUUAUCCGGAUUUAUUGGGUUUAAAGGGUGCGUAGGCGGCCUAUUAAGUCAGGGGUGAAAGCCGGUAGCUUAACUAUCGCAGUGCCCUUGAUACUGAUGGGCUUGAAUGUACUAGAGGUAGGCGGAAUGUGACAAGUAGCGGUGAAAUGCAUAGAUAUGUCACAGAACACCAAUUGCGAAGGCAGCUUACUAGGGUAUGAUUGACGCUGAGGAACGAAAGCGUGGGGAUCAAACAGG